UAUGUAUUUCCGGUGUUCAAGUGACCUCUGUUAGAAUUAUAUCCAAUUAAAGGUGUCUAAGAAGUGUUGUGUCUCCUGGGACUGCACGGCGUUAUAUGCCAUAAGACAGUAACUUUCAGUACCUACUGAAGUUAACAAGCAUUACCCGGAUGAACAUAACACCUCCAAUUCAGGAUCGAGGAGAAAGCCAAGCAAGCUUGCAGGUCCUGUCCUUCGAUCCAGAGUAUCGAGGCACUAACUUCCACCGGACUACACGGCGUCACAUCCCCGUACAAGGUACUUCUAUAGCUGAUAUUAUAUAUUCUUUCUUUGAAUUACUACAAUUAUAACAUGGCGGACUGGCGAGAAGGUUAAGUGUUUAAGGAGAACUGUGUUUGCAAUGAAAUCAUCUUGGGCAUCAAAAAUAAGAGCUGGAAAGAUAUUACUUGCUGCGGUCUUGGCAGUGCAUAUAGGAACUUUCUAUUUAAAACCACUACUAAUUCCUGACAAAAGAAUGAUGACAAGUGAUGGUGAUGAUGAUGAACCUAAAAAGCAAACAGCGAACUUGUGAUUAAUGGAGAGAAGAUAAAGUAGGGUUCAGUUUUAAUGACGGUCGUGAAUUGUGUCCAUUUAAAUUCAACAUUGGAUUCGUUACAGGAUUUCAGAUCUCUGUUGUGAUUAGUGGUGAGAAGAUUGAAAUACGUUGUCUUAAUGUGUUA